rnacentral:lncRNA from 10 species
GUGGAAGAAAGUGAGAGUCAGACCUCUCGAGUCACAGUGUUUGCGGGAGUCUGGGUGGGGGCAGGUCAGUCAGGGGAGGUCAUCAGGUCUUGACAAAGCCAGAACAAGUGACAGCUGCUUUCAGCCAGAGACUGACAAUAAGACGAGCAGCCACUGGGCAGUCCAGAGACACCUUCUGCAAAGCCACGUCUGAGAAGCCCUAUGCUCCAAAGCCUCAAAAAUGAAGUGUGCCCUCAUAUACUCAGAUGCCAACCCCAGGAAAAAGAAAUGAAGCAGAAACAGAAGCCAGAGAGCAGACUUUCUUCCUCGAUGGCUCUGAAGCAAGCUGACAUGUUGUGAACAGCCCUAUGGAGAGGCCCACAUGGCACAGAACUGAAGGCAGGCUUUGGCCAAUAACCAGCAAGAAACUGAGCCCUUACUCCAGCAGCCCACAAGGAACUGAAUCCUGCCGACGGCCACGUGAACUUGGAAGUGAAUCCUUUUCUAGCUGGGCUUUUAUGUUAGACUCCAGCCUUUGCCAACACUUUGAUUGCAGCCUCUUGAGAGAGCCUUAAGUGGAGGCCCCAGAGAUUCUCCAGUUGCAGGCAGUUGUGAAAAUCAGACCACCCUAUUUGCAAUAUCCCAUUGAAUGACAGAUCCAAACUCUGCAAUGACUUCAGUUUCCACAGUCCUGUUAAAAUGAAAAACUGUCCCUUGAACCUGAAAACAAAUGUGGAAUUCUUAUGAACAUGAAACAACUCCACGUAAGCAUUGUUUCUCUGCCUAGUUAAAAUUGUACUCACCCUUGGGAGUGUCACUGAGUUUAUUUCUUUGAAGAAUGAGC